rnacentral:rRNA from 1 species
CUGGCUGUAAACGGUGCGCACUUGCUGUAAGCGGCGUCAAAACCGCUUGUGGCGAAGUCAACACGUUAGGUGCGCCGCCUGGGGAGUACGGUCGCAAGACUAAAACUCAAAGAAAUUGACGGGGGCCUGCACAAGCGGUGGAGUAUGUGGCUUAAUUCGAUGCAACGCGAAGAACCUUACCUGGCCUUGACAUGUGAGUAGUAGAAGCCUGAAAGGGUGACGAGGUAGCAAUACCAGCUUACACAGGUGC